UACAGAGGAUGCAAGCGUUGUUCGGAAUUAUUGGGCGUAAAGCGCGUGUAGGCGGCUUGGCAAGUCGGGUGUGAAAUCCCUCAGCUUAACUGAGGAAGUGCGCCCGAAACUGCUUUGCUUGAGUGCCGGAGAGGAUGGCGGAAUUCCCCAAGUAGAGGUGAAAUUCGUAGAUAUGGGGAGGAACACCGGUGGCGAAGGCGGCCAUCUGGACGGUAACUGACGCUGAGACGCGAAAGCGUGGGGAGCAAACAGG
rnacentral:rRNA from 1 species